GAUGAACGCUGGCGGCGUGCUUAACACAUGCAAGUCGAACGGAAAGGCCCAAGCUUGCUUGGGUACUCGAGUGGCGAACGGGUGGGUAACACGUGGGUGAUCUGCCCUGCACUUCGGGAUAAGCCUGGGAAACUGGGUCUAAUACAGGCUAGGACGAUGGUUUGGAUGCGAUUGUGGAGAGUUUUUUCGGUGAGGGAUGAGCUCGGGGGCUAUCAGCUUGUUGGGGGGGAAGUGGCCUACCAAGGAGUCGCCGGGUAGCCGGCCUGAGAGGGUGUACGGCCGCAUUGGGACUCUGAGACGGCCCAGACUCCUGCGGGUGGCAGCAGUGGGGAAUAUUGCACCCUGGGCGCACGCCUGAUGCAGCGACGCCGCGUGGUGGAUGACGGCCUUCGGGUUGUAGACUCCUCUCUCUAGGGACGAAGCGCUUUUGUGACGUUACCUGGAGAAGAAGCACCGGCUAACUACGUG
rnacentral:rRNA from 1 species